UUUUGUUUGGGUCGCCAAUCCUCCUCCAUCGUCGUCACCUGCACCAUCUUGCGACAUCAUCACCCCCUUCUCUAUUACCUCUGCGUCGCCAUCAUUUUUUGCUCUUCCUCUCAUUUCAUCUUCACUCAUUUCAUUAUGGCUAGAUCUCUGCUUAUUUUUCUCUAUUUUAUUCCCAUAUAGUUGAAUCUCCCUUUGCUUUCACCAUCUCUUUG
rnacentral:lncRNA from 1 species